UACGUAGGGACCAAGCGUUGUUCGGAUUUACUGGGCGUAAAGGGCGCGUAGGCGGCAUGACAAGUCACUUGUGAAAUCCCGGAGCUCAACUUCGGAACUGCCUUUGAUACAGCACGUCUUGAGUCCGAUAGAGGUGGGUGGAAUUCCUAGUGUAGAGGUGAAAUUCGUAGAUAUUAGGAAGAACACCGGUGGCGAAGGCGGCCCACUGGAUCGGUACUGACGCUGAGGUGCGAAAGCGUGGGGAGCAAACAGG
rnacentral:rRNA from 1 species